GGUGAGGUGGCUGAGUGGUAAGGCACCACAUGGCACAAGUUGUCGUGGUCCGGAAGGUCGUGGGUUUGAUUCCCACCCUCAACA